GGUUAAGUUAGAAAGGGCGCACGGUGGAUGCCUUGGCACUAGGAGCCGAAGAAGGACGGGACUAACACCGAUAUGCUUUGGGGAGCUGUACGUAAGCGUUGAUCCAGAGAUUUCCGAAUGGGGGAACCCACU
rnacentral:rRNA from 2 species